CUACGGGGCGCUGCAGUGGGGAAUAUUGCACAAUGGAGGAAACUCUGAUGCAGCAACGCCGCGUGGAGGAUGACACUUUUCGGAGCGUAAACUCCUUUUAUAUAGGAAGAAGAUGACGGUACUAUAUGAAUAAGCGCCGGCUAACUCCGUGCCAGCAGCCGCGGUAAUACGGAGGGCGCAAGCGUUACUCGGAAUCACUGGGCGUAAAGAGCGUGUAGGCGGAUUAAAAAGUCAGAAGUGAAAUCCUAUAGCUUAACUAUAGAACUGCUUCUGAAACUCUUAAUCUAGAAUAUGGGAGAGGUAGAUGAAAUUUCUGGUGUAGGGGUAAAAUCCGUAGAGAUCAGAAGGAAUACCGAUUGCGAAGGCGAUCUACUAGAACAUUAUUGCCGCUGAGACGCGAAAGCGUGGGGAGCAAACAGGAUUAGAACCCGAGUAGUC
rnacentral:rRNA from 1 species